rnacentral:rRNA from 1 species
GAUGAACGCUGGCGGCGUGCCUAAUACAUGCAAGUCGAGCGAACAGACGAGGAGCUUGCUUCUCUGACGUUAGCGGCGGACGGGUGAGUAACACGUGGAUAACCUACCUAUAAGACUGGGAUAACUUCGGGAAACCGGAGCUAAUCCCGGAUAAUAUCUUGCACCGCAUGGUUCAAUAGUGAAAGACGGUCUUGCUGUCACUUAUAGAUGGAUCCGCGCUGCAUUAGCUAGUUGGUAAGGUAACGGCUUACCAAGGCAACGAUGCAUAGCCGACCUGAGAGGGUGAUCGGCCACACUGGAACUGAGACACGGUCCAGACUCCUACGGGAGGCAGCAGUAGGGAAUCUUCCGCAAUGGGCGAAAGCCUGACGGAGCAACGCCGCGUGAGUGAUGAAGAUCUUCGGAUCGUAAAACUCUGUUAUUAGGGAAGAACAUAUGUGUAAGUAACUGUGCACGUCUUGACGGUACCUGAUCAGAAAGCCACGGCUAACUACGUG